GCACAGUUUUGGAUUUAUGGCACGCUUGUCCUCCCCCCCCCCGGGUAUCUCAUAAUGUCCCACGCUGGACCAAACUGGCUCCUAACCAUUGCCCGGCCUCUGUACCUAUAGGCUGUUGGCACUGAAGCAGGUCACACAGUG